GAGGGACUGAACGCCGCCAGUGUCACUCCCAGCUCGGUCUGGUAUGUCCUGUCUCGGAUGCUGGGUGUCCUUAUCUGUCAGGGGGUGGCUGAGGUGGGCUCCCUC